AGCGGGAUGCGAGUUGUCUUGCCCUGCCGGUGCAGUUCCGUACAAACCACCCGGCUCUCAGCGUUUCCCUCGGCAGAAGACGCCUUGUCCCUGCUCCGCAGGGAGCGCCGGGGGUGAAUGACCGGCCGCCCGGAGCUGCAGCCUGCCCGGGGUGGGGUGGCGCCGCCGCGAGCUGCCCGGGUCGGUACAAGCCACAGGCGGUGUGUCUUGGAGCGAGCGAGCAAAGGGCCACCACGCUGGCUCCCCUCUCCGGACUCUCUUCCCGGUAGGGCGGGGAGAGCACCAGGAAAGCUCGUCGGCACCACCUGCUGGCCCCCGCCUACCGCGCGCUGCCCCGGCUCCAGCGGUAGCGCAGCUAGGACAGGACAGUGUGAAACUUACAAGUGGCGUUCGUGUUUUGUGUAUUUCCAUGUGUAAGAACCUGAGCGGCACCGCUCACAAGGACACACGCAGUAGGUGAAGUCUUUUUAGAAACCUGCACAGAAAGUGGAAGUAGACGUGUCCCAAUAGUUGCACCACCACCGGGCUUCUGGAUUUUCAUAAAUACAUAUCUAUGUACUAGGGUCUGGGUUAUACACAUUGUAACAAAAAUAAUGGGCUGCAUCUUUCUCCUUGAAAUCAGUGAAGUUACACCAGAGAUGCACUUAGCCUUUUAUCUUUCUCAGUUUCAAACAACACAGCCUGUCCCCCUCAUUCAGUGAACAAUUUCAAAAGAGUUUCAGUUACUCAUUUGAAGUGUUUCAUUACUAAAUGCUUAUUUAGCAAAAUCCAUACUGUGGGGAAAUUGUCAAAUGAAACAGCAACAUUAAUAUUAAGUUUUCUAAUGUGGAUAUAUGGCCAGUGUUAUUUUGGAAGUUUUUUAAAUAAAAAUACUCAGGGAUCCUGAUCAAAACAAGAUAUAUGCAAUGCUCUAUCAGACCCACUUUGGCAUAAGCAAAAUAUAUACCACAUCAGUGACUAUUUUGACUUCCAAGGAUCUUUGCUUAUCAUGCUUGUAUUUCUUAUGAUCUUGUACAGGCAUUUGGUGAAGCAGGGUAAAGAAAAACAGUAACGUUUAAAUUUGUCAAAAAAACCAAAACACAGUAUGACAGGAAAAAUAUAUUCCUAUCCAACCAAAACACUUAGUUUUGAUUUUUCAAAAAGUAUGGAUCUCUGUCCAAUGGGCUCUAUUCUGACCUUUCAUAUUCUUAAAAAUGGGUCUUUGUAUUCACAAUAUGACUUUAUAGGUGGCCAAAUAGUGCCUGUUGUAAGUUACCCCUGCCCCCCCCCUCCCUUUUUAACUUUAUAACACUUCUUACUAUGGAUGUAAAAAGUUAACUGGUUAAUUGAUAAGCCUCAUCUUUACUGGGUGAGGCUUACUGGUUUGGUUAACUGGUAGGGGCUGGAGCAAGUCCCUUCCAAAGGAGCUGUUUCAGCCCUGCAGGGCUUGCUGGAACAGCACCUGUCUGUGGCGGGCCCAGUCAGCCCCACCUAUCGCAGGUUCCAUCCUGGGGGCUCUGCAGUAUAAAGGUUAUUUAUCUUUAACUACAGAGAUUCCACAGUCUUCCUAGACAAUUUAUUCUGGUAUUUAACUACCCUGAAAGGAAGCUUUUUCAGUGUUCAAUCUAAACCACCCUUGCUGCAAUUUAACCUAUUGCUUCUUGUCCUGUCCUCAGAGGUUAAGGAGAACAAUUUUUGUUCCCUCUUCUUUAUAACAGCCUUUUAUGUACCAAGCAUAGCUCUACCAGGAGCAAACUAGAUAGAAUAUUAGGUAGGAUGCCACUGCUUAAGUUGUCCUAGCACAAAGCCACUGAGAAACCUUACGCUUUACAAAGAUCAUGAUUGAAAACUAUUUUCUAGUACAUUAGGCCCAAGAUUUGAUCUACUUUAAACCAUAAUACAUUUGGUGAAGCCACAAGUUCAUCCUGUGAUUUAAAGAUCUAACCAGCAUCCUGUGGCCCAGAAGAAGGCCUUGCAGAAGUAGGGGUAUGUCUACACUGUAGGGUUUUUCCGGGAUACUGGAGGUAUCCCAGAAAACCCCCGCCAUGUCCAGGGAACACGUUUACUCGUCCGCUUUUUUUUGUGGAAGAACAUAUGAACUCUUUCGGGGAGCUCUGUAUUCCUAGUUUCAUGAGGAAUAAGGGCUCCUCCAAAACAGAAGGCUUUCCCACCAUUUGGCCUCGUCUACACAGGGCCAAAUGGCAGAAAAGCCUCUUCUAAAAAACCAAUUGGAAAAAGCUACACAAAUUAUGGAGCACAAUUUGUGUAGCUUUUUCUGAUAACAGAGUGUGGCCUAGACAUAGCUUAGGACUGUAGUGGAGGUUCCAGAUGGUGUCUGUGUACAGCUGGAAUAGUCAGAAGAAAUGUCUAUAUUAAAAACAGUAGAAAAAGGAAAUUUCUUCCUUACUAUUUUCUCUAGCCUUGAAAAAGGAACUUCUUUCCAAAAUGGAAGGAUACAAAAUUCUCAUCAGUUCCCUGCUCUGGUUAGUCUCUAGGCUCUACCACAAUGUAAACAUUAAAUAAUAAUUUAAGCCCUGCGCAAGUCAUGAUCAUGGAAAAGCUGAGGGAGUACUGACUAAGAUGGCUGGGUCAUGGGAGACAACGAGAGGCAGAUAUGCAGGACAGAGAAUAAAAGAUCUAGUAGUCAUGAGGAAGACCAGGAAAAAGACCAUGAGAUGGUGAAGGAGCACAUUUAGAAGGUUGGUGUUAGCUUGGAAGACUCCCUUGAUAAGAGCACUUGGAGACAAAGAACAAUAUUCACUGACCUCAAAGAACAAGAAAAAUUUGAGCCACCUGCUAAUACCUAUAAGUCAUACCAAUCAUUAGAGGUUACAGCCACACUAUAUGGGCAUUUGAAAGCAUUGGGCCGUACUCUUUGUAGCAGUGUACAACAGCUUACUAACGCACAUACUGCCUUGUGGGUUAUUGCAAUAUUCUCUCUAGCUUAUGUCUGCACUGGAGGGUAUUUUGAUUCUGCAUAUAGGAAGAGUGACAAAGGUUCCUGAUGUAUGCUGUAGAAAAAGGUAUAGCAAGGGUAAUAGGCAGCCUUAUAUUCCUAACAAAUUGCCCAUUCUAUUUCUCCCACAAACCUUCUGGUGGGAGAGAAAAGAGGAGGUGCAAGUCCAGAGAUUUUUCUGAUAGCACAGAACUGGAAACAUCUGCUAAAUGACUAAGACUAGCCAAGCAACAGCCUUUCAUUUAUCUCCUUUGGUCAUCCCCUGGAAUUAACUCUCAGGAAUUGGAGCCCUCAGUGAUGGAAUAAGAGACGUAAAAUUCAGCGAAGCUGGUGCAUAACAACAAUAUUCUGAAACUUGAUUUGUUCCCAUCCCAGUCUUGGUUUCCCACCUUCUGGUCUGGAAAAUGCUGGGGCAGCUACAGAACCCAACUGCUGGAAGGGGGCGGGUUAGGGAAGUGCCUCCUGAUAUCCAACACCAGCCCCUCUGAUUGAUCAAGGAACAGUUUUGGUCUCAGCUACAAACAGCAGGCAAUAGGCUCCACUUUUCUGCUUGGGGAAUUUUGGCCACUUUGCUGCUUCAACAAAGUAAGGAUCGUGUCUUGUUCAUUUGUACAGCACUCAGCACAUUGUGGGCAUAACUAAAAACAAAUCAAUAACAACAAAUACAGGUUGGACCUCGCUGGUCCAGCACCCUCAAUCACCAGACCGGUCCUGAGCGAGGAUGUUUGCCAAACCAGGGAAGGUCAAUGAGACUGGAAGUAGCACCCUAAUGAACCCCAGCAGCACCUCAUCUAAACUUCAUUGUAUUGAAAAUACAUUGUCUAUACAGGUGAAAUAUAACACAUGAAGGAAUUUGAAUUAAAGAUAUCUUGGGGCAAGUCUGGAGCAUAAAUGUUAGAUGUAAUUGAUCCUCCCUGUAAAUGUAAAAUGUAAGAGUCUGCAAAUUUUGUUUUCUUUUAUUAUUGUUUUCCAAACUCCAGCCCUUAGCCUGAAUGUCAGCCUUAAUCAGUUGGAAGAGAUUUUCACGUGAUAAAU